CAAGCUGCGAGAUGCCAUUCCUCCUGAAAUUGGUGAACUAAAGCAGAUAACUCAUCUGUGAGUAUAUUCAUAUUGAAGGAUAUUUCAUAACAAUUAUUUUACUGGCAGCAUUCCAGCACAGCUUGCAAAUUUGAUUAACUUAGAGAUCUUGUAAGUUUAUUUAUUUUUAUGAAAGGGAAUUUUGAGUUGUUACUUUGUUGCUUGAUCUGAUACUAUUUUAUAUUGUAAUUUAUGAAUUUAAUUGCCUCUGCUCACAGAUAUUUAUCCUAGAAUAUUCCUAGAUUACCUGUGAGUUUGCUUUGUCGGUAUAUUUCUUAUGUUAGUAGUUGUAUGAUAUCAUUUUUAGCUUCAGGAUGGUGAUUUAUGACAAUAUAUACAAUUGUUGAAACUCCCGUGAAAUUUUAAGUGUGGCUAAUCUUUUGUACUUGAAGAUGCUAAGGACCAAACUAUGUGCCAAUAGUUUCAGUAAAUAUUGAGGCGAGAAAGCAAUUGUGUUAGACCGAAGCACAGUUCUUUGUUUUUGAACUUUGCUAGCUCUUUCUAAGGUCUUUUACAGAACUGGAAAGGCCCAGGAGCUAUGGUGUAACUGUGUAAGUUUCUUGACCAGCUAAAUCUAAAGCAUGUUUGUUACACUGCACAAAAUUUGAAUUUGUUAUUCUCUUGUAAUAUUGCCCAGCACAGCACUAUUUCGUCAACUUUACUAAACAUGAUAAGGAAUGCCAUUAGUCCUCUAGAAUCAGUAUUAUGGGAUGCUAACAAUUUGCUCAAAUGUACAGGUUGAAGUUUUUCUGUUUCCGAAACUGUUUCUAUGUUUCAGGUAUCUGGAUCACAAUCAAUUUUCAGAUAGAAUUACAUAUGCCUUUUACAAGCACCUAUUCUUAAAGGAAAUGUGAGUUUGGCUCCACCGUAUACUUUGCAAGUCGUAAUUUCUAGAACUAUAAACUCAGUCUGGCCAGGUGUGAACCCAAAUUGGCAUCCACCAAGUCCUAGAACUCUCUGACUCAGUUUUUAUUCUAGGUGGCAUAAAUGGAGCGCUUGAUUAAGCAAACAAGAAUGAAAUUUUCUGGUGCAAGAGAGGAAAGCAAAGAAGAAAGCAGCAGCAUAAGAGAUGGAAAAAUAAAACCUCAAAAAACUCAAUCCUUCAGAGGAG